UUCAUUGCACUACCCUAACUUUACCUUACUAAAGCUAUGAUGACUUGUGGAAGGAUGAACCUUCAUCCUUAAUGAUUUGAUCACCGACUUCAUCCUUAGUGAUUGGAUCACUGACUUCUGAUGAAUAUGAAGUCUGGGUUAUGCAAGCCACAGGGAUCCCAAAUACCCCCCCCUUUUCCCCUCUCACUAAUAUAUUUGAAGUAAUGCAUCUAUAGCUUACUUUCUUGAAGUUAUUUGAUCUCAUCACUAUACACUGUUAGACCACCAUUGGUUCUGCCUAAGGAAUGCUGCUUUCUGGUAUUCAUGUUAUUAGAAUGCUUGGAUGGAGUUUUCAUGUAGGACUAGGUCAAAGAUAACCAAACCUACAGUACGAUCGUAGGUACUAGCUAACAGUAGGUUAAUAUGAGAUUCAGCAACGCAGUAACAUGAAAAAUUUAAAAGAAAAUAAAACAUAGAAGAAGAUGGAUAGAUUCGGGUUGAGCCUCUGAACCAUCCCUGGGCCUCUCACCUGCUCAUAGGGUCUCUCACCUCGCACUCCAUCUCGCAGCCAUUACAAUGGUUUCAAUACGCAAGGAAGCAAUUGUCUUGAACUCAAUCUACUCCACUCAAGUUGUCAUGAGCCCACCAAUUCUGGAAGUCCACAAUCGAAAGCAACCCGACAUCCAAAAACGGCUGGCACUGGAUCCACAGGCAAGUCUGGAAACAUCUUCCUUCAAUUGGUAAACCGAUGGCUAAUACCUUCCCUAAACAAAGCUGAUUGCUAUUCACUAAAUCUGGAACAAUAUUCUGGAGAGUAUCAUCCUCCAAUUAAGGCUGGUCAAUCAGGGUAUGAACAUGGACAGAUUGGUGUUGAAUAUUUCUCUCAACCACCAUCGAUCUACAUCAAGUUUAGCCUCAAAGAAAUGUUUUUUGUUAUUCCGUGAGGCAGGGACCUCUUUGUGACAACUUUUCAUAGAUAUUUUUUGUAGAACAUUCACUGUACUUGUCGGCAGGAGAAAAAUUGAUAUAUCAGACGUAAUAUUUUGUCUAAAGUAGCUGCUGAGAAAUUUCUGCUGUUUUCCAAUUCUUUGUUGCCAGUAGUAGUUGUCACUGUUGAUAUAUACUGAGCUGAGUAAUUCUUGUUCAACAAUUUUAACAGUAAUCUGCAAUGGAUAAAGUAUAAGAGAAGGAAGAGGAACAGAAGAAGAAAAUAUGAGAACAUGGUGGAAGCGAGGAAUUGACAGGGAGAAGAAUUGCCCUACUCGAUAUCCCUCUCAAUGUAUAUAUGUUUCUGUUAUAAUAAGAGAACUACAGGAAUAACCUCACUCAAACAAGUUCAGAAUAUUAUAGCUUAAGCCCUAUGGCACCAAUAACCAUAUAUCUCAUCAUUAAAAAAAAAAAAAAAAAAAAAAAAAAA